UUGUUCCCACAACUGAAUGUGUAUGCCCAUACAUACACCCAAAUGGAACAUCCAUGAUCCAGACCGAAGAAACCCCAAAUGAGUUCAUGGUGAAGAUGAAGAACAUACCUUGUUGAGCCAUUUCCUGAAUCUCGAAGGUAUGAGGGUGAGAUGAUCUUCCAGAUGAUAGAGCGCCUUACGGUUUUCCUUUAGUUCUCUCUAGAGGGGAAUGAGAGAUUACCUUAGUUUCUUGAAAGUGUAUUGU
rnacentral:lncRNA from 1 species